GUAAUAUCCUGCCUGUAGUGUUGACCUUUUUGCAACUCACUUUUUUUUAAAUCUCCAGAUUGCUCAUGCAGAUAAACAUCCUCCCAUUCUGUGAGAAGGUAGAAAGUGAAACCCUUUACCAUCUCUUCCUUCGGUGAUUAAUAAAUAAAUGAACUAUAAAUACAGUGGUUUGAACUUCUCAGAAUAUAAGAGAAAAAUGAGGAGAAAAGAGAUAUUUUGGCUACCCUAAGGAAAUGGUGAGUAUUUGAUGAUGUGCUAUCAUUAUAUGAUUUCGUAUGACAGUCAUUUCUAAAUAUUAAGGAACAUUAUUAUUCUAC
rnacentral:lncRNA from 1 species